UACGUAGGUGGCAAGCGUUGUCCGGAUUUACUGGGCGUAAAGAGCGCGCAGGCGGUCGUUCAAGUCGCGUGUGAAAGCCCCCGGCUCAACUGGGGAGGGUCACGCGAUACUGAUCGACUCGAAGGCAGGAGAGGGAAGUGGAAUUCCCGGUGUAGUGGUGAAAUGCGUAGAUAUCGGGAGGAACACCAGUGGCGAAGGCGGCAUCCUGGACCAUGACUGACGCUGAGGAGCGAAAGCCAGGGGAGCAAACGGG
rnacentral:rRNA from 1 species